GGCCCUACGGGGCGCAGCAGUGGGGGAUAUUGCACAAUGGGGGAAACCCUGAUGCAGCGACGCCGCGUGUGGGAAGACGGUCCUCUGGAUUGUAAACCACUGUCCCCAGGGACGAAGAUGACGGUACCCGGGGAGGAAGCUCCGGCUAACUACGUGCCAGCAGCCGCGGUAAUACAUAGGGGGCAAGCGUUAUCCGGAAUUAUUGGGUGUAAAGGGUGCGUAGACGGAAGAACAAGUUGGUUGUGAAAUCCCUCGGCUCAACUGAGGAACUGCAACCAAAACUAUUCUCCUUGAGUGUCGGAGAG
rnacentral:rRNA from 1 species